rnacentral:misc_RNA from 2 species
AAGUCGUAACAAGGUUUCCGUAGGUGAACCUGCGGAAGGAUCAUUAUCCAUCCAAAACCAGGUGCGGUCGCGGCCUCCGGGUGAUAACCUGGGUGGUUUCGCGCCGCAUUCCUGCACCCUUUUUUUACGAGCACCUUUGUUCUCCUUCGGCGGGGCAACCUGCCGCUGGAACUUAAUAAAACCUUUUUUGCAUCUAGCAUUACCUGUUCUGAUACAAAUAAUCGUUACAACUUUCAACAAUGGAUCUCUUGGCUCUG